CCUACGGGAGGCUGCAGUGGGGAAUAUUGGACAAUGGAGGCAAGCCUGAACCAGCGACGCCGCGUGAGGGAAGAAGGCUUUCUGUAUGUAAAGCUCUAUCAGCAGGGAGGAAAAUCACGGUACCUGACUAAGAAUCCCCGGCUAACUCCGUGCCAGCAGCCGCGGCAAUACGGAGGGGGCAGGCGUUAUCCGGAUUUACUGGGUUUAAAGGGUGCGUAGACGGUGGAGCAAGUCUGAGGUGAAAGGUCGGGGCUCAACCCCGAGACUGCAUGGGAAAAUGGUGGACUGGAGUACAGGUGAGGUAGGCGGAAUGUCUAGUGUAGCGGUGAAAUGCUUAGAUAUUAUGCGGAACACCAGUGGCGAAGGCGGCUUACUAGACUGUAACUGACGUUGAGGCUCGAAAGCGUGGGUAGCAAACAGGAUUAGAUACCCGUGUAGUC
rnacentral:rRNA from 1 species